GAAAUAAAAACAAGCCCUGCCGUGUCAGGUGUUUUCAGUGUUCUCCUGAUGGUCGCCUAGGAACAAACAUUAUCUUCUAGGGAAGCCGCAGGGACAAGAGAAUGUUUAAGCUCAUCUUAAUGACCCGAGUCUUAGAAGCUUCUCCAUUGUGAGGAAGCAGGGUGUGUUCUUUCUAGAGCCUCCAGACCAUGCCAGGUUAUGGUAAAAAAAUGCAAAGAUUUCAGUGUGAUGGCUUCUUAACCCAUUUGCUCAUUCACAGAAGGGAGUAAUCCCUGAGCUGACACAAAUCACUCAAGUCAGGCCAAGCCUUCAUGCUUCUUAACCAAAAAAGGGGAGCGGGGGGGCAGGGAGGUCCCCUUGCAGGACAGUGAGAGAGGAGAUGUUUAGUGAUGUCCAACAAGGCAUCUCACUUGCAAGAUUCUGGCCUCUUUCAGGAGGUGGGAUGGGGCAUGUGUCUUGUAGUGGCUGCUUUUUCUGAAAGUCAAACCACAUCAAGGUACAUGCCUUCCUUUUUAUUUCCUUCUGCUUGAAAUAUCCUGUAACUCCAAGACAACUGCCUCUCUCUCUCUCUCUCUCUCUCUCUCUCUCUCUCUCUCUCUCUCUCUCAUUCUCUCCCCCUUCGCACCCCCCUCCGUGUGUGUGUGUGUGUGCGCACACGAACAUGUAUAAAGCUUUCUUUUAGAUCUGCACUCAAGCCUGAAUGUUAGAGGUUCAAAACCACUUUCUAUUUCAAUAUUUUUGCUAUUGCUCAAAUACAAAACUUCAAGUGUGGAAAACCAGGGAAUGGUUUUGGAGUGUAAUUAUUUUUUUUCUGUGUGUGCAUGCUAACAGCCUCCACAGUCCAUUCCUUCUUCCCGGAGAGCACAUGCAGACACACAUAUGCUUUAAGUCCAGCCUUCCAUGAAUUCUAGAAAAAGACUAAAAUAGAUUCAGUACCUCCCUCUAAGAUGAUAAUGAUGACUCUGGCACUCAUAGCAGGAACAUAUAGUCAAAGGAGUAAAUUCCACAUAAGAGUUAGUUGUGCACAAGGGUAGAAUCAAGGGAUUCUGGAGGAGUCAUUACUUAGAUGUUGAGAUAGAGUCUCCUUAUUGGGCCCAGGCUAUCUUUGAACUUGAAGCAAUCAUCUUUUUCUUAUUAAUCACAUAUUUAUUUAUUCAUUGAAAUUCAUGCAUGUAUAAAUGUAUUUUGAUCAUAUGCGCCCCUACUACUUUCAACUCCCUACGGACCUCCUAUUCUGUCUUCUUCCUGGCUUCAUGCCCUGUCACCACCCCCACCACCCCAUCCCCAAAUCCAAUUAUUGUUGUCUACAUGUGCAGGCAUAUGGGUUCAUCCAGUAGGGCAUGGGCAACCUACCAGCAAACAAAAGUGACUCUCCCUCAACAACCAUUUAUAAUCCUUCUUUGCUAGGCUCAGAGUUACUGUCCAUGCUGGAAUUCUGACUGGCUUGAUCCUGUGCACAGCGGCGGUGCAGUGAUGUUUAUCAGCCAUGUCAUGUCUAAAGGGCAGCAUUAUCAUAGCUCCCCUCCACAUUCUUUGGCUCUUUCACUCUCUCUGGGCCUUCUGCUGCUGACCUGUGGAUGAGGGACAUUGAUGUAGAUGACCCACCUAUGGUUGGACCCUCACGUCUCAUCAGAUCCUUGGGUGCUAGGAUUAUAGGUGCACACCACCACAUCCUGCUCAGUGAUACUUAGUGUUUUGAGAUUUGUCAUUUGGAACCAAUAGUCUUGGCACCAUCCAACUUUAACAUAAGGCAGGUGGUUAAAGUUUGUGGGAAAAAAUACAGGAUAGCCUGUCCCAUUUAGAUUUCAGGUUAAACUAUGACUGGCUCUCAGUAUAAUUAUGUUCCCUAAAAUACUUAGGGUUUAUUUGUAUAGAAAAUUAUCCUAUCCUUGUCUCGAACUUGGCUUUCACUAGAGUCUUAUAUUUUCUGUUUGCUAAAUAUGGCAACUUUACCUGAGGUAAAGAAUAGUAACGUUUGUAGCUAACUGAAUGAGAGCAGAGCCAUUCAUCCCGAGAUGGUAAAAACCUAAUGCCAAUUGUAAAGUUUUCCCAGCAUGCCUGGCUUCUUCCCACCUGUACUCUACAUCCUCUAAGAAGCCCAGUCUGUGUAAUGUCAGGAUGUUGGUAUGGCCUUUGAGUUGCUAUCCAAGGGUGUAUCCCAUUAGCUUUCACUGAUGGCGUUCCAGUUGCAAUGAUUCUAAGCACAUACAACUUGUUGAAAGUGGAUGCUGGGUUGAGUCUCUGUUUGCAAGCAUUUCAUGAGUUCAGGGAAGGCUUGCAUAUCUCCAACUGGUGACAACUUACAGAACCAUGAGCGAAAAGAAUAAGAUGUUAAAUAUUCCAUGAGGAUUGGAGAUGAACGAAGAGUCAAUAGAGGAGGGUCCAAGUAUGGAGGGAUUAGAGAGGUUCUUAUAGACGAUGAUAUUAGCUCACAGCAUUCCAUGUUGAGCAGUCAGAACCAUCAAUGAGACAGAAAUCAGAAUGUGUGCCCAAGAAAGUUUCCAUUCCAACUUGAGAGGCAAUGAUCCAUUCAUUCAUUUGUGUAUUCAGCGGAUACAUGUCAAACUUUGAAGCACGAAUUAGUGAAAAAUUGUAAAUGUGUAAAGAGCUAUGAAGAAGAGACUCAUGGUGCUAUGAGGUGUAUGAAAAAUGCAGUGGGGGUGGAGACCACCAAUGAUUGAGUUACAUUGUGAAUGGAGAACAGAAUUAAUGAGAUGACAAGAGAGUAGUGAGAGCCUUAGGGGAGGAGAAUACAGAGCAGAUGAACUUGUCUGCAUCAGGAAGACCCUAGUGCUGACAGGACCAGGAGCAUCCAAGACCAGUUGUGACUGAAACAUAGGGAUUGUGGUGGAAUGGUAGAUUGGAAGUGUUAAAGCUCUGAACACUUUGACACCUGCUGGGAAUUUUAUCUUAAUUUUCAGGGCACGGUGGAGCCCUGUAUUUAAAUGGGGAGGAAGAGCAUCGUGUGGGCAGGGAAGGUUAUGAUGUAGGAAGGUUAAAGGGACAUAGACAAGAAGAGGGAGAGAAGGCUCUGAGGGUUCCCUGAAACGGUGCCUUCUUGUUCCCAGAACAAUAUUGCAAGGAGAAAUGCUAGAAAGGCAUUGGGGGUAGGCAUCUAAACAGGACCAAUAAGGGAAAGAGGGGGGACCCAGGAUGAAACUGUUACUUUCCCCUUCUAUGUAGCUUGGUCUUCUGUCUUUCCCAGAUGUUCAACUCUUUUGUCUUUCCUGGAUGUUCUUUGUUCUGCCAAGGUUCACACUCACUGAUCUUACACUGACCACCAGCAUCCCUGUUAUGGAAAAGUAGCCAAAUAUCUGAGAGUCAAGUAGGUAGGGAGCAACAGUAAUGACAGUUAUUGGGAAAGCAACACACUGUUUGUCAUCUCUCCAUACAAAAGAAGUAGCUCCAUGGGGACUCUGAUCAGUAUGUAGGUGGACCCUGGGGCUUAGCUUAGCACAGUAAGCAGGAUUUCACAAGCUACAGUUCUGGGUUCGGCUGGAGGGUGGUAAGGCAUGGAGCAGGGAACAGCCUGAGUCCAGCAGCACCCACAGGGCUAUGCCAACCUCAGCAGGCCAGGGGAAAGAAGGCAGGCUGGCUCACGUGCCAGCUACCCUGUGUCCUUCAUAACAGUCCAAGCUCUGGAGACAGAGUCAGAGGGAGAAGAUCAGCUUCUGAAUCUAGACUGCUCCUGUUGAGAUUGUCAUCACUGGCCCCCUUUCUGCCAAGUGUAUUUGUAAUAAUGGGCGGCAUAGUUCUAGAACUCUUCACCUACUUGUGGCAAUUCUCCUGCCCACACUUACUCCACAGAGGCUCCUCUGCCUUUGCUGGCUGCAUUCACAAAAGGAUUGCUCAAAAGUGAGGGUUCUGGUGUAUGUCGGGGGCAGGUGUUUGUGAGGCGAUGCCCAGGUAUCUGUGUGCUUAUGGCUAUAGGGGUCAGAAGGUCAACUUUAUUUCUGAAAACAGGGCCUACUAUUGGCCUAGAGCUUGCCAAUUAGGCUAGGCUGGCAGGCUAGUGAGCCCCAGGGAUCUGUCUCUUUCUCCCCAGUGCGUGCUGUACCUGGCAUUUUUGUGUGGAUUCGAGUUAUUGAACUCAGGUCGUCAUGCUCGCUCAGCAAACGCUUUACCAACUGGGCUAUCUCUCAGCCCAUCUUCCACAGCAUUUUGGUUUAGUGAGUUUAGAUCAUGUAUUAAUACUUAACUACAACUCUGGAUUUAACAGGGGCUUUGCCAUGAUUUGUGGUAUCAAGAAAUAGGAAUCUACUUACGUGGCAUUGUAUCUUUGGCGCAAACUUAGAGAAGUCUCCCGCUCCCAAUGGACAGCAUACAUCUAUGGAAUGAUAGCCACACUUAACUACCUAAAACAAACAAGUGGACACGACCAGCACAGCUGAGAUCUUGAAGGAACCUACUCAUCUUAUAGGCCUCCGAUGACGUAGCUCUGAGGUAAGGAAACAGUGGGGUAUUUAACUUCAGCAGGGGUAGACUACGAGAGACACUUUUCCCGAGUAUCAUGUCUGUGUGCAGCAGGACUCCAGGGAACAGGCCUUCAAAGUUGCCAACCAUCUUCAUGAUCAUGUAAUCAACAAGGCACUGGGAUGGAGACCAUUCACCCUUCAGGUUGCUGACCUCACUAUGAUUUACAUCACUAGAGAUGCUUCAGAACCCGAAGGAGGAAGGCAAUACUUUAAGCAGGAGGCAGAGAAAUUAGAAGACCAGAGAAGGGAAUGGGUGAGAAUCAGGGUGGGAGGUUGGGUGUUCUAAACAAAGAUGGCAACACAAAGGCUAGCUGUGGAUAAAUGGCACCAGAGCAUUGCUUCAAUGGGCACAAGAUUUCAGAUUCCUUUACUCAUGUGUUUUCCCUGCUUCAGAAGGGUGGGGAAACCCACUCAGCUCGAGUAAGUCCAUCUCUGCUACAGAAGGCUUUGGGACCAUGGUUGGGGAUGGUCUUAGCAGUGACCAGCUUUAGGUAGAGUCUGUUUACUUCUUGGAGGGCAAUGCAUGAAGAGAGGAGGAGAAGGUGCAUGCUCAGAGUUCCACAGUUGAAUCUACAGAAGGGGGGGCAUUCUAAGAGUGAAUCAAUCAAUGUAAGUCUUGAAAGAGUGAAGGUGAAAAGGCCUUAGCCUUGUUAGGCAGGGUGAUUCAUGGACCUAAUCACGGUGCAUGGCACACUAAGGCAGGAGGAGGUGAAUUGUAUGAUAACUGACUUGUUAGUGAGUCCACCCCUCCGGUCUCUGUGGAAAGCAGAGUCAUUGUUGUGCCGCAAUAGUUACAGGUGGCCGGGGCUGAAGCCCAGCUCACCAAGGACACUUUAGUCUUUAUCCUAGAGUCUGGUCUCCCUGGCUUCCACCGCUCUCGCCUCCCCCGUGUCACCCAGCCAUUUCUGCAGCUGUUGUUGGUAAGGGGGAUGAUAAACACACGCAUAGUUGAAGAAUGACUAGAUCACGUAGUUCUGCAUUCGUGCCGCUGCUCUGUAAACUGGGCUGGAGUAUUGAGAAACAGCCACGAGCCGCAGGACACAUCUUUGCCCUUGGUUCGUAUAUAUUGAUAUAUUUUCCCAAGCUCCUCCUUGGUGGUCCCAGGACAGUAGUCCUUUCACAGGGCUGCCCAUGGCUGAGCUAGCCUGCCAAGCCAAUGACUCCUCCCUCUCUGCUUUCUCCCUUGGAUUCCCACCCUAGGGGUAGGGGUGGGGGUGAGAGUGGGGGAGUUUGCCUUUCUUUUGUCUAAGGUGAAAAGUCAGGGUUUCCACAUCUCAAAGGAGAACUUAUUACGUGGUGAAAACAAGUUAAUCCUGCUCUUCGCCUCCAUUGAUAAAUCUUUUUACUUUUAAAAGAUGGCGUCUCAUAGAUAUCAGGCUAACCUCAGACACGCUGUGUUUAGUAUUGAUCCUCCGGCCUUCCCAAUCUCCGCUGGUCUGUGCCACCAAGCCAUUCUUCAAUCUCAUGCUUCUUUCGCCUGUCAGUGUUUCUUCUAGGAAAAGACAGACUGAGUGGAAGACACAAUGCCAUAGGCUCCAUGCUCUCAAAACCUCCAGAAACCUCAACAAAACAACUGUUUCCUCCUCUUGCUUUACUUGGGCUGUGUCAUGUCUCUUACUAUGUGCACAUCUGCAUUGGUCCUGGUUUGCAAUGAGGGUUUCUUCUCUCAUUGGACUAGGCAAGCUGUGCCUGAUGAAUUUACUUCAAGGUCAUUAACUAGAGAAAGACAGAGUCCCAUUUUUCACAAAUAGCAGUGGGCACGUCUUUCUUUCCUCCCUAACAUCAGGUUGAUUGGUUUCUUGCGGCCUUCUCCACUGUCCUUGGCUUACACAGCCCCUAGAAAUAUGUGACCAAGGUUCAGAGCCAAAAAAGUGAGACUACAGAGGAUUCUCUGUGUUCAAGAAAGAAUAGCUGGGAGCUGCCCUGGGAGGUCCUCUUCCUGUUACUGGCUUCAUUCUGGUCAUACUUCAAUGCACACUCCCUCAAGGGGGCAAAGAACACUGUUCAUCCCAUACACACAUUGGAUUGGUUUAACUCCUCCUAGUCCCUUGUAACUGCCUGCUCUCUUUUCCCUUCUCUCCAGGUUCAACUAAUUGCUUCUCUCUGGACCCCGAAACCAUUGGCCUGUGCAUGCCUGAGCCUGCCUCCUCCAGCAGCAGCAAGGUCUAGGGAGUGUUGGUCACUAGGCUCUAUUUCUUUUUAUAGAUUAUUAGCAGAUCUUCAAAGCAACCAUGGGCUUUGUGUUAGCCAAUGGGAAGAAGAAGAGUGUGUCUUUUUAACUGUUGCCUCGUUAACCUGGUUCCUUGAAGGUAAACAAGGAUAAAGUAGAGAUAUGUUAGGACCCUUGUAAUAUUGAGAAUCACAUAGGUAUAUGAUUACCUACAUCCAUAUUUUUGCAUAUUUAAACCUAGUAGAUGUAUUUUUGUUGUUUGAUCUGACUUUUUCUUUUUUUUAAAUUUUUUGAGAUAGUCCUUAGGCUAACCUCAAAAUUGCUAGAUAGUUGAGGAAUGUUUCAAAUUUCUGAUGCUAGUAUUCUAAGUGAGAGCCACCAUACCCAGACCUAACAGAUACAUUCUUGAAAAUUAUAUUUAUAUAUAUACACAUAUAUAUAUACACACACAUACAUACACACACAUAUAUAUGUAAAUGUAUACACACACAUAUUAAAAAACAGGGUUGUAAAUAAAUAGUGCCUCUCUCUGCUUAGCUUUUACCAAAACAAGUCCAUACCAAGGGAUCGAGUUUGCUUAUGGAGAGGGCAGUCUAGAUCGUGACAAAUGCCAUACACACGCACACACAAUGAGUGCCUCGGAGGCCAAGGCUUGUGACCGUAUCUCUGCCGACUCCCUCAUAAUGUUCAUUACACGGUCCCACCCUGGGCUGAACUCCAUGCUCCCUUUCCAGCUGGCAGAGUUCAUCCUGUUAGUAGUGACUCAGUAUGACUUCAUUUAUUUCAAGGCUUUGAGUCAAUAGCAAGACCCACAUUCCCCAAGGCAUUAUUUGCACAACUGGAGGCAGAAAUGAACACCCAGUAACACGGAGGGCACCUGUAUCCUUAGAGAAUCACCUGGUCUGGGCUUGCUCUUUGGGUAACACCUCUAUCCACCCAAACAGCCUCCUUUCCACACGGGCCAGGAUGAACAAACAAGAAUCUGAAGUGCUCUGUGUUCUUUUGUGUGUGACUGGGUCUUUCCUCUCUAGAACUUUCCGAGUUGCCCGCACAAAGGGCCCUUCCCUAUCCAGAGUUGCUAUACCCCUUUCUCAUGGUGCCACUUAGCCAAAUGCUACGAUGAGAAAACUGUGGGCUCUUUUGUCUGUGUUCUUUGUUUCAGAGCAAAACCAAACUGUUGUAUUGAGAGCCAGUUGCAAGAGUCCCUCUCAGCAUGAAGCCCAGGAACCAGCUUAGAACUGAAGUCAUUGUUUGCUCUGAGCGUCACUGAAACACUUCAAGUUUGCACGUAUUCUCAUCUCAAAGUUUUACGGGAGUAAUAAAGGUGGUUUAUUACCACAGAUAUGCUUUCAGACUGAUAAUAUGGCCCCUGAUCCAUCUGACCCUGUGGACGGGGAGUGUCCCUACAUCUGUUCUGUAGGGUCACCCAGGCUGUGCCCUUAGAUUCUUACUCAGACUUGGAAACGAUGCCCCAGUCACGAGUCACACAUCAGCCCUUGGUACAAGGUUAAUGCAGCGGGGAUCACAAACUCUGGGUCCUUCCAACAGGCAAGGGUGUGACAUUAUGGCUAAACCUCACUUUAUUGCAGCCGUCUACAGUGCUUCCUGCUCUCCAGGAGGAUGAAUGCCUGGGAGUUCCCCCUGAAAAGUUCCGUGAUCCAUGCCUCAGUCCAUGUGCCCCUUGAGCCCGCUGUGUUUAAAGAACCAUCCUCCAAGUAGGUAGCGCUGAGCUGAGCACGGCCCAUUGCAGCAUAGGGAGAACCACAGCACAUCUGUCCAGACGGGCAGACCCCAUGCUUCCCGAACAUCAAAUGCCAGCGAGAAUGUAGAAGACAAAGGGGUCUUUGUGCAUGGUUGGAUGGAAGGAAACGGGUGUCGCCAUUAUGAAAAAAAAAUGGUAUGCAGAUGCUUCAAAAAAUUGAAAACAGAGUUAGCAUAUGAUAGAGUAAUCCUACUACUGGAUAUCUGUCCAAAGGAAGUGAACUUAGCAUGUCAAAAGUUAUCUGUAUCCUCCUUGUCCCUGCUGCACUGUUGGCAACAGAAAGAUCUGGAAACAACUGGUAUAUUUGCUGAUAAAUGACGUGACGAGGAAUACACA
rnacentral:sRNA from 1 species